rnacentral:snRNA from 1 species
AUACCUUCCUCGGCCUUUUGGCUAAGAUCAAGUGUAGUAUCUGUUCUUGUCAGUUUAACAUCUGAUACGUGGGACAUUGUCCCACAUGAUAUUAAAUUAAUUUUUUUUUCUUAGGGGAGGUCCACGACAAUGGCUUGCCAUUGGGGUCCUCAGGCGUCGCCCAUGCGUUGCACUAUUGCACAGGCCUGGCGCGCCCCUU